UUGCAAUGUAAUGGAACCACAACAAUGUUCCUUAGAGAACAAGUGUAAAAGUGACAUCUCUGUGAGAUGACGGCAACCCCAGUGAUAAUAUCACUGUCCAAUGUAGACCUGUUGUAUAGGUCAUGAUAAAAAGAGAAUCACACUUAAAGAUCAAUGAGGGAUUGCACCAAGCAUACUAUUAAUUAUAGCUUGGUGUCAUACAGAGUUAAGGAAAGUUUAUCUUGAGAUACUUGCAUCACAUAAUCGCAUUAUGAAUGUAUUAUAGACUUGUACAUAGCCUCAUGAACCAGUGCUUAUUGUAUGUACAAUACAGAACAGAUUGCUUGUGUGAAGUGGAUUGUGCAUUGACAUCAUUCACAAGUUUUGAAUGAAGUCACUCCCCACAGUGCAAAUCUUCUUUAUUUAGAUAUUGGCACUAGAAAUCCUUUUGUCACCAUGUUUUAAUUUAUUUGUUUAUUCAUUUGUUUUUAUUUUUUAAGCUUGUUCAUAACCCUACUUUUCAGUUUUGUAAUGUCUGUUAUGAGACCUUGUAACUAACUUUUUUAGUCACUGGAGAAAAGAAGUGCAGUACAAUAAUUUGUCAGUGUAAGUUGACUGUACAAUGGAGUGUGCCAAUAAGGAAGCAGUUUAAUGUUUGCUGCACCUCAGACAACACUCCAAAAACACCUGCCACUUUGGCUUGUGUUUUAAGUUUACUGUGAUACUUUAAAAGUACAAAUUUUCAUAGUUUCUUUCAUAUACAUACAAGACUUUCUCAUUGAAGGUGUCAGCUUUUGAUCUGUCAGGUUCUGCUAUUUGUUUUAUAUUCAUUGGUGAUGAGUCUGCUUUAUGUAUCUUUUAAUUGUCAGCCGGAGCCUAGUUGUUUUUGUCACCUUGUUUAAAACUAAAUUUGGGUUAAGUUUGAUGAAGGUAGUGGCUUAUCUGACAGUAUUACUUGCUUGAUAGGAAGGCGACAGGAAUUAACUCUGUGACAAAGGCCUGUGUGCUUUGUAGCUCCGCUUCAGUUCAAGGUCUUGGAAGACAAUGCCACCACAGAUUGCCAUUUUGGAACAGUUUUAGUAUGGUUUCCAAGUGACACCUGACCAUGCUCUGGGCACUAUUACUGAAUAGUUAGUACUUGAAUCUCACCAAGAUUUUACUUGGUUGAAAUAUACAUUAACAGUGUACGUCCAGUUCCUCUACACUGAGAUGUCAGGGACAGAACUAGGUAAAAUUCCUGUGGCUGUGUUUUAUGGGCACAGCAGGCUUGGCAAUGCAUUGUAGUACACUGUAAUAUGAGAUAAUUCAUAACUUUUUGCAGCAUGAACUGAAUGCAGUUUUAUUAAACAUUUUAUGUUUCACAUCUUUUCUACAUCAAGCAGACAUUAAUGUUUUACUAGCAACUCAUAUAGUCUAUUUUAGUUAGGUAAAACUGCAGAUUAGUUCAUUGCAAUGUUUUAAAUUUCUUCUAUUUUUCGUUGAUGUGUUUUGUUUUGUUUUGUCUUGCUCUGAGUUCUGCAUGGUUUAACUACAUGAAAGCUCCACAGGCCUUUCUACCAGAAUUGCCUCUAAUAGAAUCUGAGCAUCUAUAUAGAAGCUGAAGCUUUCUCUCAAAACUUGAAUAUUCUGACAGCUUUUAUAUCCAUAUAAUGAACACAUUUCUGGGAACAAGGUGAUAUUAGAUUAGCUGCACUUCAUGAUGCUUCAUUUUUCCCCAAGUUCUUCAAUGUUUCUCUACAGAAUACCAGGAAUGUCUUUCUAUGGAGUGUAUCUUAAGGAAAACUUCUACAGUGUAUACUGGGCUCUAUUACCAUGUAAAUAUUCAUCUUUACCUUUGGAUUCCAUUAUUGGGAAACCUCUACUGUUAAAGAUCUGUAUUCUCAGCAGAUUGUAUGUGCCAGUUAUUACUUGUACAUGGUUCACUCGUGCAGUAACAUGUCAAGACCACACCAGUCAGAUACCAACACAAUCCACCCUUCUUCAUUCUUCACAAUCCCUCUUUCAUGCUUUCCGUUCUACUUCUGAUCUCCUCUCUCUAUCUUAAUCUUGAACUCUCCCUCUUACUCUUUCAUUACAAUAAAUAAGCUUCUCAUCCUGGACUUAAUUCUUUCUACAAUCCACCAACCUUGUUCGUUCCUCACAUUUUGUGUUUUCUCUGCAAUUAUUUAUUGAUUCGUCUUGGAAAUAUAUGCAUCUUGCCAUUCUUUUGUUUCCAACAUCUGAGCUGAUGAAUUUUAGGUCAUUGGUUGGUGUUGGUUUUGCAGUAGUUUUUUUUCUGUUCCACUUCUGAGAAUCCCUUCAUCUUGCAUCAUUAUCUUUGUGUUUAGGUAAAAACAUCUUUUAUCCUCUGCUUUUAAUGUUUUCUUUUCUGACUCUUGCAGCACACACACAUACAUUACUACUAGCAAUCUUCUUGAUUUUAUUCAAGAAUAGCCUUUUUAGCCUCUCAGUACAUAACAUCUGUUAUUUCUGCUGAACUAUUAGUCAUAUUGGUAUUGCACUUAAUACGCUUAAUCUUGUCCACUCUGUUGCAAGAAUUUUGUCAUGCUUUAUUUUCUAAAUCCCAGUACUCCUAAAACACACUUUCAGGAAAUGAGCUCCAACAAGCUAUGAUUUUUAACCUGGUCUCAUUCAUCAUAUCCAAAUUACCAGUAAACAGGAAACAGCACGUCUCUGAUGGAUAUGCAUGAUUCAUUGAGCUGUGAUACCCUACCUGUUUCCAUGCUGUAACUGCUCACUAACUAUUUCUUGGAUCUCUUGUUGCUUGUCCUGCUGUUAGAUUUUUACCACAUUUCUUCCUUUCCUUUCCAUACUUUCAUGACUUCCCUUUAUUCUUCAAUGACGAGUAAAUUUUUUAUUUACUGAAAUUGUUCCUUCUAUUCCACUGGAUUAAUACAAUAUUCAGUUCUUGUGCCUUCCAUUGUGUCAGACAGGUCUCAUUUGGCUUGAUGCUUCCAAUUAGUAAUUCAUUUAAACUUAUUUGGAUGACUGCAACAAAGAAUGGGAAAUCUUCAUGCCUGUAUUGGACACAUUAGAUCUACAUGUGGACUUGUCAUGUUUGGAUUUUUUAGGUCACACUAAUUUACACACUCAUGUCAUGCCUACAAUUUAGGUUACCCUAGAUUUACCCACAGAUGUCAUACUCUAAGUGCCCUUUACUCACUCCACCACUCAGUGUUUUCCUUGUCUAAUGAUGAGUCUACCCACUUCCAGUCCUCCCAUAGAACAAGUGUUAGAUGGUGUAUUCUGGAUGAUGCACACGGAAGGUAUUUGUGCAUAAGGUAUCAGAGAAAGCAAAACUUGUUGUUAUACAGUUGAAGUACUUGGUUGUUUACUUGCCAAACUUUUGUAUUCAUCACCAAGAUGGAUUGUUGUCUCUGUACAAAAACUUGAAAGUUCUUUGGUAGUAGGGUUGUUCAGUUCUCAGCAACAGAUUGGUGUGUUGACUUGGUGUGAAUGGUCACCUUUGUAUUUUGUUGUGAGGUGCUGUGGUUGCUCUGCUCUCUGUGAGGUUUGAUGAUGUCUGAUAUUGAGGAUUUGUUGACUCAGUGUUUUCAGUUUUCUAUUGUUUUGUCAUCAUGUGUCUGCUGCGUGAGGGAUGAUUUUUUUAAGCUGCUUAUAGUUUUUCUUAUGCAAUUGUGUGACAUUUUGCUGACUCAAAGCUUUACAGUUAUAUUCAGAUCCAAUGUUAUACAGCUAUUUUCUUUUACUAUCAUAUGAGCAUACCUCCCACUCAAAUAUUUAAUUACCAAGCAGCAUGAGAAGCUCAGCUUACAACUAGGCACUAUAAAGAAAAAAAAAGUUAGAAUAGCCAGGCUUUCCUACAAGCAGGUGACUCAGUUGUCACAAUUAUUUAUAUCACAUUGAUUUGUAUCCUUUAGGCUUAUUUUGUAAUGUUAGGUCCUGACAACUUUUAUGCCAUACAAGCCUUACUUUAUACCUCCAUGACUUUAGUACCAUGCAAGCAGUCUUACUUUGUGCAUUGCAAGACUGGCUCUGUACCUCAUGAAGCUCCCCUUGUACCCAACGAAGGAUGUCUGUAUUUUUAUAAGCCUUUUCUAGUAGCACAAGAUUUACUUGUACCUUAGCAUGGCUCAUGAUGUACUUGUAAGACCUAGCUUACAUUUGCAGGUAUGAUGUAGGUUGCAAAUUUUGUCAUUGCUACAAAACUCAUUCUCCACCUUAUAAAGCUUACAUCAUACUUGUUUGCUGUAUGGGGUAUCUUGCAAGGCCCCAUGUAUGUUGAGAGGCUUAGAGUGUAUCUGCAAUGUGCAGGUUAUAGCUUACAAGGUUUGUAAAUACUUGGAAGAGAGUAUUUGCCUGUAGACCUUGUUCCUUGGAGGACUUGCCGUGGCUGAGGCAGUUUUCUCUUACAAGUGUAACAGAACAACAUGUAGCCCAGUCUGCUGCUUUUGCCACAGAGUCAUAGUGGAAAUAGCAUCUGAUGGGUAAUGUGUUUACACUAUUGGUUAAUCUUUAUAUUUGUAAAGUGGCAACUUGAGCAGAAGAGAGACUCCUGCCUGAAAAUCGUAGUGCUAAAUUCUGCCACAAUGUCACUACUUUGAUUAGAUUUAUGUCUCUUUAUAAGAUGUGUGUGCGUGUGUGCGUGCUUGCGUGUGUGUUUUUGUAGUUGUGACACGAAAAGAGUGAUGUUGAUUGUGUUCCAUCUUCUUAUCUGCUUUUAUCAAACUUGCCUUCAAAUUCUUGAUUGUGUCUUGCAUGGAUCCUAUUUCUGCACUAAGGUUGUUCCAGAUUUUUCAGCUUCUUUAUAGUAAGUUUUAGAUAUCUUGUGCAUGUCAUCCAUCUCAACCUUUCUACGAUCUUGUAUAUCCGAGUUGCACACAAACACUUCUUACGUCUUUCCUUGUUCAGUGAAUUACCCCGGUUAACGAUCAUCUUUGUUGCUGUUCUUCAUUUGUGUUUGAUUUACUGUAUGUUUUCCCUAUUGUUUGAUGAUUCACUGUCAUCUCUGAUAUCACACUAAGUCUUUCCUCAUACAGUGAUUCACCCAUCAUAGGAAUUGUUUUUUGUUGCAGCUCUUAUUCCUAUUCAAUUAACUUUAUACAUCUCCUAUUGCCUGGUAAUCAUACUACUACUGUAUAUUCAAGCUUUGGGUGAGUCAUUGAUACAUUUAGUUUCUUCCUGAUAUUUGAGCACAAUUUGUACAUUUCUCGAUACGUUGUCUGCUUCUCGGGUAAUUCUGUUUGUGUAUCCCUGUGAUAUCAAGUUAUCCUGUGUUACUCAAUUCUUUCAACAUUGAUUUCUUGUUUUAAUCACUAUAUUUUUUUGUCAUUGAGUUUGGUGUGUGUGUGUGUGUGUGUGUGUGUGUGUGUGUGUGUGUGUGUGUGUGUGUGUGUGUGUGUGUGUGUGUGUGUGUGUGUGUGUGUGUCCGUCCGUACGUCCGUCCUCUCGAAAGAUAAACACUCUAAGUAGGAGUAGGACUUGUAGAUGUCACAGAAAAUUAUCAGACUUGCUUCUGCAUAUAUCUUGUAAUAUUUACCCAAGAUUUAUUACAGGAUGUAGGUUAAGAGCUAAGUCUUAUUCUCAGAAGAUAACCGAGUGUGUAUGCGUGUGUUGCCUGUUCUUAGAAACUUGGUGAUUGUUUUAUUUUGCCUGAGUACUCAAUUCCUAAACCCCAUCCUGCAUUAGUAGAGAUCUUGUUUACAGUACUUCUGUGUCUGAAGAAUAACAGUACUUGUCUGGAUAUCCAUACUAGCCUCAACACUUGUAUAUGUGUACAUGAUUUGUGUCCAGAUGAACUGUGUAUGCCUGUUGAGUUUACUUACACUUUUCCCUCUGUCGUGUGUGUGUGUGUGUCCUGGUAUUAUUAAGCAUUAUUAACACACACCAUCAUGGCUGCUAGGGACACUGGAAAGAUUGUAUCACCAUCUCAUAAACAUGCUAACCAAUCCCAGACUUUGAGGGUGGUAACAUAGGAGACAUUUGUAAUGAAUGAGUGGUGUGAAUGCAGCUCAGGCAGGCAGCUUAUGUGAAUGAAAACCAUCUGGGACACUGAAGCCUGAAGACAGAACCCACAACACCUGCACUUGUUGGUACCACCUACAUAAAGUUACAAGUCUGUGCUGGAGCAUCUGUACCCAUGUAGAGCUUGUGUGUGUGCCUCUCUGGUCCAGGGCAAGAGUGAAGACAGGAUUCAGCUGGUCUUCAUGCAUCUCUCAGACUACCUGGAGUUUUAAGAAGGGGAUAUUUAUUGGCUUGGGGAGCAGCGCGGCGAGAGAAACAAGGAAGGAAUAACAGCUGGAGUGGAGGAACUGUGGCAGAAUCCCUGAGGAGAGGCAGACUGGCUGAGAGAUGAUUGCAGGACCUCAGGCAAGGCUUUUUUUUUUUUCUUUUCCGCGGUAUUAGGGUGUUGAGGGUCACCUUUGUGUGUGUGUGUGUGUGUGUGUUUCUGAACACUGGCGUGAUAUUUACUAUCCUCCUUAGUUGAGCUUCUCUCUCUCUCUCUCUCUCUCUCUCUCUCUCUCUCUCUCUCUCUCUCUCUCCUCAAAACUUGCUGAAGUGAAAGUCUGACACGGAUUUAAUCUUUCCGUCUUUAUUUCCGUCAGCGAGUGGUCUGGUUUUCAUUGCGUGUUAACUUGUGCCAAAGUUGCGAAAAAGUCAUGCAGCACUUUUAAUUAUUUUUUUUAUUUUUUUCUAAUGCUCUGUGUGUGUGUGUGUGUGUGUGUGUGUGUGUGUGUGGAGGGGACGAAGUGGGAGGCGCUUGUCAGGGUAUUUCUGGGUGUAGUGUUAGGUUGGCCGCCAGAUGCAGCUUCCCAUUGGUUGCCUUUCUCAGCCCUCACUCACUGCCAAGUACACACUGUUACUAACUUACAUGCUUCAUGCACGCCGUUCACCUUCUUUCACCCGAGACUUUUUUGACGCAUGAAAAUGUAAAUAUAGUUGUGCCCCGCGUGUAACUGUCAAUAUCCGAUGUAUUUCACAAUUUCGGUGCCGAUGGAUAGGAAUAAUUUUUGAACGCGUUGGCUGGCAGUGUGUGUGUGUGUGUAACUCCUCUCUCAGUGGCUGGUGUACAUAAUGACCUGCUCUGAGAGGGGGGGAGGAAAAGGCUUUUGAUCUUGGCCGUAGUGUGAGGCAUUGCGCGUGUGUGGAAGGGUGUAUUGUCGAAGAUAACGUGGUGAGAUAGGACUGGCAGUGACGGGAGAGCAUAUUAGAGGGCCAACACUAAACAAAAACCCAUUCAAAUACCAGGGCCUCUGUUAAACAUGGCCAGUGUCAUCUCAAGAGGCAGCCAGGGGUUCCUGAAGUGGAGCGUAGGGACGCGGUUGAGUCAUGCCCAGGCUGCAUGUAGGGACAUCCUUCAAGGGGAGCUGGAGGGGAUCAAGGCCGCUGGCACGUGGAAAAACGAGCGCGUGAUCACCAGCAAGCAGGCCGUCACCAUCCGCGUGGAGGGCCAGCACGCAAGUGUCCUGAAUUUCUGUGCCAACAACUAUCUUGGCCUCUCAAGUCACCCUGAGGUGGUGCAGGCGGGGAAGGAUGCUCUGGACAAGUAUGGCGCAGGGCUGUCCUCUGUGCGCUUCAUUUGUGGCACUCAGACCAUCCAUAAGGAACUCGAGGAAAAAAUAUCAAAGUUCCACAGUCGUGAAGAUUCCAUACUUUAUGCCUCUUGCUUUGACGCUAACGCUGGGCUGUUUGAGAUCCUGCUGACCCCACAAGAUGCCGUUCUGUCGGACGAGUUGAAUCAUGCCUCUAUCAUUGAUGGCAUUCGUCUGUGCAAAGCUCGGAAAGCCAGAUACCAGCACAAGAAUAUGCAAGACCUAGAAACCAAGCUGCAAGAGUUUAAGGAUGCACGCAUGAAGCUCAUCGUGACAGAUGGAGUGUUCAGCAUGGAUGGCAAUGUGGCACCUCUGCCAGAAAUAUGUGCCCUGGCUGAGAAGUACAAUGCUAUGGUGUUUAUUGAUGAGUGUCAUGCUACAGGCUUCUUUGGGAAAACAGGAAGGGGAACAGAGGAACACUUUGGUCUUCAGCCAGGUAAGGUGGACAUCAUCAACAGCACACUGGGCAAAGCAUUGGGUGGGGCAGCAGGAGGCUACACCACUGGGCCCAAAGAAUUGAUUUCUCUUCUGCGACAGCGGGCAAGACCUUACCUCUUCUCUAACUCACUGCCACCACCAGUUGUUGCCUGUGCCAGUAAGGUCUUUGAUUUACUCCUUGGAAGUUCAGGAUAUGCUGAAAAAGUUCAAGCCAACACAGACCGAUUCAGAUCUCAGAUGACUGAUGCUGGAUUCAUUAUUGCUGGAGAGAACCAUCCCAUCUGCCCAGUCAUGCUGGGAGAUGCUCGUCUUGCUUCAGUCUUUGCUGACCAGAUGUUAGAAAGAGGAAUCUUUGUCAUAGGCUUCAGCUUCCCAGUGGUUCCCAAAGGGAAAGCAAGGAUCAGAGUUCAGCUUUCUGCAUCACAUUCAUUUGAAGACAUCGACCGCACAGUUGAAGCUUUCAAGCAAGUCGGCAAGAGUCUUGGUGUAAUCAACUAAGAAGGUAGUAGUUAGUGGAUACAGUGAUCUAAUGAAGAAGAAUGAAGAUAGAGGCUACGGAAAGUAGGGAACAAACCUUGAUUCAGCACUGCCACUCUUCUUAUUAACACUACUUGCAAUUCUACUCUUGUGAAAGCAGUCUUACUUCUAGUAUGUAACAUUUUAUUACAGUUUUGUCAAGAUAGCAAGUUAAUAGUUAGUUACACUGUGUGUCACUGCAUCAUCAGCUGUAAUCUUUACGUAAAUAGUCUCUCAGUAAAAGAUUUGAUAAAUUGUUGAGAGGAAUAAUAAAUAUAUGAGUGCCAAAACUGUAUGGCUAGUGGGUCAUGACAUUGGCUCAUCUGAAGGAGUGGUUCUGUGCCUACAACAAAAUGUACAAGGUUUACUCACCAUGGCCAGGCACCACAAUUUCCAUUAAUGGCUGUUUUAACCAACAAAAAAGCUGUUAAACAAAUCACCCACUCUCUCUCUCUCUCUCUCUCUCUCUCUCUCUCUCUCUCUCUCUCUCUCUCUCAGCACCAUUGAUGUUAAAAAUAUAUGGAUUCAAUGGCAUGAAAUAUGAAAAAUAGUAGACCUAAUUUUUUUGUACAUCACCUUGCUGCUGCUUAAUAAAUUAUUAUUACCAGUACUA
rnacentral:misc_RNA from 1 species